AACUCCAGCUUGCUGGGGGGAUUAGUGGCGAACGGGUGAGUAACACGUGAGUAACCUGCCCUGGACUCUGGGAUAACCCCGAGAAAUCGGAGCUAAUACCGGAUAGGACCUGGAACCGCAUGGUUUUGGGUGGAAAGUUUUUCGGUCUGGGAUGGACUCGCGGCCUAUCAGCUUGUUGGUGAGGUAAUGGCUCACCAAGGCGUCGACGGGUAGCCGGCCUGAGAGGGUGACCGGCCACACUGGGACUGAGACACGGCCCAGACUCCUACGGGAGGCAGCAGUGGGGAAUAUUGCACAAUGGGCGCAAGCCUGAUGCAGCAACGCCGCGUGCGGGAUGACGGCCUUCGGG
rnacentral:rRNA from 1 species